UGGGCAACCUGCCCCUCUCUCUGGGAUAACCCCGGGAAACCGGAGCUAAUACCGGAUACUCCGGCUGGAUCGCAUGGUCCGGCCGGGAAAGGUCCGCCGGAGAGGGAUGGGCCCGCGGCCUAUCAGCUUGUUGGUGAGGUAAUGGCUUACCAAGGCGACGACGGGUAGCCGGCCUGAGAGGGUGACCGGCCACACUGGGACUGAGACACGGCCCAGACUCCGUACGGGAGGCA
rnacentral:rRNA from 1 species